UGGAGGGCAAGUCUGGUGCCAGCAGCCGCGGUAAUUCCAGCUCCAAUAGCGUAUAUUAAAGUUGUUGCAGUUAAAAAGCUCGUAGUUGAAUUUCGGGGUCAGUAGGUUGGUCGUGCCACUGGUAUGCACUGGUCUCACUGAUUCCUCCUUCCUGAUGAACCGUAAUGCCAUUAAUUUGGUGUUGCGGGGAAUCUGGACUGUUACUUUGAAAAAAUUAGAGUGUUUAAAGCAGGCUCACGCUUGAAUACAUUAGCAUGGAAUAACGAAAUAGGACGUUUGAUUCUAUUUUGUUGGUUUCUAGGAUCGACGUAAUGAUUAAUAGGGAUAGUUGGGGGCAUUAGUAUUCAAUUGUCAGAGGUGAAAUUCUUGGAUUUAUUGAAGACUAACUACUGCGAAAGCAUUUGCCAAGGAUGUUUUCAUUAAUCAAGAACGAAAGUUAGGGGAUCGAAGACGAUCAGAUACCGUCGUAGUCUUAACCAUAAACUAUGCCGACUAGGGAUCGGAUGGUGUUAAUUUUUUAAUGACUCAUUCGGCGCCUUACGGGAAACCAAAGUGUUUGGGUUC
rnacentral:rRNA from 1 species